CACUAGUUGCUUAACUGUCUGUUACUUUGUUUUACUUAAUUGUUUUGCAGUAUGUGGGCUGUUGGACCAUGGAGUUGUGCUGUAGUGCUUACUCAGAUUUUGAUCAUACUGGAGCAGAAUGGAUAACCUUAAAUUCAUCAGACUUUGUUUCAUAAGUCAUCCACACUCUAAAACGGGAGGAAUUUUGUAGUUCUGGAGGACCAGAGGACUUCACACGCUGAAUGGCCACAUGUGAAGGCAUUUGAGAGAUUUGUUCCUCCGAUGGCUCUGCACUGUCAACCCCACGUGGAGAAGUGGGUGACGUACAUAAUGGUCCCUCUAAG